AGAGUUUGAUCCUGGCUCAGGAUGAACGCUAGCUACAGGCUUAACACAUGCGAGUCGAGGGGAAACGACAUCGAAAGCUUGCUUUUGAUGGGCGUCGACCGGCGCACGGGUGAGUAACGCGUAUCCAACCUGCCCACCACUUGGGGAUAACCUUGCGAAAGUAAGACUAAUACCCAAUGACGUCUCUAGAAGACAUCUGAGGGAGAUUAAAGAUUUAUCGGUGAUGGAUGGGGAUGCGUCUGAUUAGCUUGUUGGCGGGGUAACGGCCACCAAGGCGACGAUCAGUAGGGGUUCUGAGAGGAAGGUCCCCCANAUUGGAACUGAGACACGGUCCAAACUCCUACGGGAGGCA
rnacentral:rRNA from 1 species